CUGCAAGUCGAACGAGUAGCCGGCUUCGGCCGGCGAGAGUGGCGGACGGGUGAGUAACGCGUGGGAAUCUGCCCAGUAGUGGGGGACAACCCGGGGAAACUCGGGCUAAUACCGCAUACGCCCUACGGGGGAAAGCGGGGGACCGCAAGGCCUCGCGCUAUUGGAUGAGCCCGCGUCCGAUUAGCUUGUUGGUGGGGUAAUGGCCUACCAAGGCGACGAUCGGUAGCUGGUCUGAGAGGACGAUCAGCCACACUGGGACUGAGACACGGCCCAGACUCCUACGGGAGGCAGCAGUGGGGAAUAUUGGACAAUGGGCGAAAGCCUGAUCCAGCAAUGCCGCGUGUGUGAAGAAGGCCUGCGGGUUGUAAAGCACUUUCGGUAGGAAAGAAAAGACCGACGCUAAUACCGGCGUUCU
rnacentral:rRNA from 1 species